GCUGACACAUCCCUGCCAAUCUCCGGCAGACCCUCCCUCCCAGGCCCUCCCACCUCCUGGACAGCAUCCAUGUUGAAGCUGCCUUCAACAUGGAUGCUGUCCAGGAAGUAGGAGGGUCUGGGAGGGAGGGUCUGCUGGAGAUUGGCCGGGAUGUGUCAG